AUUGAACGCUGGCGGCAGGCCUAACACAUGCAAGUCGAGCGAGCGGCGGACGGGUGAGUAAUGUCUGGGAAACUGCCUGAUGGAGGGGGAUAACUAGUGGAAACGGUAGCUAAUACCGCAUACCAUCAGAUGUGCCCAGAUGGGAUUAGCUAGUAGGUGGGGUAAUGGCUCACCUAGGCGACGAUCCCUAGCAGGUCUGAGAGGAUGACCAGCCACACUGGAACUGAGACACGGUCCAGACGCCGACGGGAGGCAGCAGUGGGGAAUAUUGGGCAAUGGGCGCAAGCCUGAUGCAGCCAUGCCGCGUGUGUGAAGAAGGCCUUCGGGUUGUAAAGCACUUUCAGCGAGGAAGCGUUACUCGCAGAAGAAGCACCGGCUAACUCCGUGCCAGCCGCCGCGGUAAUAC
rnacentral:rRNA from 1 species